rnacentral:rRNA from 1 species
UAGGGAAUCUUCGGCAAUGGACGAAAGUCUGACCGAGCAACGCCGCGUGAGUGAAGAAGGUUUUCGGAUCGUAAAACUCUGUUGUUAGAGAAGAACAAGGACGUUAGUAACUGAACGUCCCCUGACGGUAUCUAACCAGAAAGCCACGGCUAACUACGUGCCAGCAGCCGCGGUAAUACGUAGGUGGCAAGCGUUGUCCGGAUUUAUUGGGCGUAAAGCGAGCGCAGGCGGUUUCUUAAGUCUGAUGUGAAAGCCCCCGGCUCAACCGGGGAGGGUCAUUGGAAACUGGGAGACUUGAGUGCAGAAGAGGAGAGUGGAAUUCCAUGUGGAGCGGUGAAAAGCGUAGAUAUAUGGGGGAACACCAGUGGCGAAGGCGGCUCUCUGGACUGUAACUGAAGCUGAGGCUCGAAAGCGUGGGGAGCAAACAGG